AUGGCACCAGGGACAGCCCAGGCCGAGCAGCUCCUCCUCCACACGGCGCAGCGCCGGCGUGCGCGGGAUUGCCGCCAUGCAUGGGGCCUCUCGGCGGCAGUCCUGCUCCUGCUGCUGCCUUCCGCCGCCGGCCUUCUCCCUCCUAUGAUGUUCUGCGCGACGCAGCCGGAGACAGUCCCGCUGACCCUCCUUUCCGGUGCGCAGGAGAAGGGAGCAGUGUGCUUGGACGGGACCCCGCCGGGCUACCACCUGCAGAGAGGCUCCGGCACCGGCGCAAACAACUGGCUCAUCCAUCUAGAGGGAGGAGGCUGGUGCAGCACCGUCAAGGAUUGUUCCAGCCGAAGAAAUUCCGAGCUCGGUUCAUCCAACUUCAUGAAACCGAUAUUGUAUGCCGGGAUCCUUAGCAGCGAUCAGCCACUGAAUCCUGAUUUCUACAACUGGAACAGAGUGUAUGUGCGCUACUGCGACGGGGGAUCAUUUUCUGGGGAUGCGGAAGGUCAAGCGCCGGAUGGAAGUACACUUUACUUCAGAGGAUUGCGCAUCUAUGAGGCAGUUAUUGCUGAAGUCAUGGAAAAGGGACUUGCCAAUGCUACAAAGGUUCUUCUUACAGGUUGCUCUGCUGGUGCUCUAGCCACGAUGCUACACUGCGAUGAUUUUAGUGCAAAAUUUGCUCAGGAGGUUUCAGUUAAAUGCCUUGCCGAUGCUGGAUUUUUUCUUGACGUAAAGGAUAUAUCUGGAGAAAGGACCUUUUGGUCUGUCUUCGAUGGUGUUGUUCAGCUCCAGAAUAUUAGAAACGUGUUGCCCAAGGACUGCCUUGCCAAAAAGGAGCCAAAAGAGUGUUUCUUCCCCGCUGAGCUUAUAAAGAGUAUCCACAGCCCAAUGUUUAUUCUCAACUCUGCAUACGAUUCUUUUCAGGUACGAUAUGUUCUCAUACCGGAUUCGUUGGCUCCUGAUAAUUCGUGGUUGUGUUGCAAACAUAAUAUCCGGAACUGCAAUUCCACACAAAUGGAAUUCCUUAACGGAUUCAGGAACGCGAUGGUGGAUGCAUUGAAGGUUGUCGAAGAUAAAGAGGGAUGGGGAUUGUUCAUUGAUUCAUGCUUCACUCACUGCCAAACGGUCUCUGACAUCUCUUGGAAUUCACCAUUCUCCCCUAGGCUUGGAGAUAAGACAAUUGCUGAGGCUGUAGGAGAUUGGCAAUGUGGAUGUAGCGAAAGAGUGAAAGAGAUUGACUGCGAGUACCCAUGCAACCCAACAUGCAGCAGACAGUUGCCGCCAUGA
rnacentral:rRNA from 1 species